rnacentral:rRNA from 1 species
UACGGAGGGUGCAAGCAUUAAUCGGAUUUAUUGGGCGUGAAGGGCGCGUAGGCGGGAAUGUAAGUCAGACGUGAAAUCCCGGGGCUCAACCCCGGAACAGCAUUGAAACUACAUUUCUUGAGGGUAGGAGGAGAAAACGGAAUUCCACAAGUAGCGGUGAAAUGCGUAGAUAUGUGGAAGAACACCGGUGGCGAAGGCGGUUUUCUAUCUUAUUCCUGACGCUAAAGCGCGAAAGCAAGGGGAUCAAACAGG